rnacentral:misc_RNA from 1 species
GAAAUGCGAUAAGUAGUGUGAAUUGCAGAAUUCAGUGAAUCAUCGAAUCUUUGGACGCACAUUGCGCCCCUUGGUAUUCCAUGGGGCAUGCCUGUUCGAGCGUCAUUUGUACCCUCAAGCUCUGCUUGGUGUUGGGUGUUUGUCCCCGUCUCCGCGCGUGGACUCGCCCCAAAGUGAUUGGCAGCCGGCGUACUGGUCCCGGAGCGCAGCACAUGUCGCGCAAACGAGUGCCUUGGUACGGCGGCGUCCAUAAGCCCCUCUCUCACGCUCUUGACCUCGGAUCAGGUAGGGAUACCCGCUGAACUUAAGC